rfam:Nicotiana attenuata strain TT chromosome 4, whole genome shotgun sequence.
GUGAAGUUCAUUCACAUCCGAUAAAAGUGAAAGGAUACAAAGAAGAGUAGCAUGGCCCCUGCGCAAGGAUGACAUGCACAAAUUGAGAAAUAGUCCUUAAGAGU